GUGCUCACUUUGGUAGCAUAAAUACUAAAAUGCAAUAAUUCAGAGAAGGUUGGUAUGGUCCCUAUGCAAGGACAAACAAUUCAGCAAGUGUGUUGAUCUUU
rnacentral:snRNA from 1 species